CAGUCGUACCAACGGGAAAUCAACCUAUUGAGCUUGGUCUCGUGGGUUUUGAAGAGUUUCAAAGCCUUCGGAUUCGCGGGAUUGGGAUCUCUUGGUGUACUUUUUCGUACGGUUAGUCAACAUCGGUUUUGAAUGUCAUAAAAUGAUUGGGGGAAUGUAGCUUCGAUCUUGUAUUGAAGUGUUAUAGCCUUCGGUAGAUGUGAUGAUCGGGAUUGAGGAUUGCAACGGAUACCCUUCGGGGCUACCUGUCUGGUCUCUG
rnacentral:rRNA from 1 species